rnacentral:rRNA from 1 species
UACGAAGGGUGCAAGCGUUACUCGGAAUUACUGGGCGUAAAGGGUGCGUAGGUGGUCGUUUAAGUCCGUUGUGAAAUCCCUGGGCUCAACCUGGGAAUGGCAGUGGAUACUGGACGGCUAGAAUGCGGUAGAGGGUAGUGGAAUUCCCGGUGUAGCAGUGAAAUGCGUAGAGAUCGGGAAGAACACCCGUGGCGAAGGCGGCUCUCUGGGACGGUACUGACGCUGAGACGCGAAAGCGUGGGGAGCGAACAGG